CCAGCUCGUGUCCUUCAGUCCUGCGUUGUAAAGAGUACGCACGCGCAGAGCGGGACUCUCGGGCGGGCUUGCCUCUUUGAGAAAUAGAACGCCGCACGCGCAGGAGUUUGUUUCCUCAAAUCGCCGUUAGGGUUUUUUUUUUCCUGCUUCUUUGGCGCCCCUUUAAGGCGGGCGGCAGAACCAUUUUGCAUGUUCAUACGAUGAUAUCAUCAUCAUCGCCUAUUCGCCAGAACAAUCUAGGAGAGGAGCCCCGCCCACAGACGUCAUGAGAAGGGGGGAGAAGUCCUUUUCUCCUCUCAGAAGAACCGCCUGGAUCACCUCCCCUCCCUCCUUCAACGCGGUGCCCUCAGAAUGCCCUAGAAGCUGAAGUGAACUGGUGUUUUUUUCUGCUUCCUCUGCCCAGAACCUUCUAGAAACACGAAGGAGCACCUGUUUCAUCUUCCUUUUUUUUCAAAGCCUUUGUAGCAUCUUAAAAGAUAUCACAAGUGUGAUGGAAGUUUUAUCAGCUUUAAUUGACGUUUCUGGUGUUUAAAGUCAUCUCAAAUUGGCCAGUCUCCAGAGGGCUACUAUGGUGGUUUGUAAUAUCUAAAAUAGCAACAACAAAAGUCCUCUUGAUACCUCAGUGACAAAUGGCAAUUAAUUUAUUGAGACCUGCAAGACUAGAUGUUCGUGUUGGUUCGUUAAUACCUGUGGGGAAGGAUAAGGCCAGUCAACACAUCUUUAAACUUUCAUUUUGUCUGGCUACAGCACGGCUUUCUCCUCUUUGGUUUCUGGCAGCUCGAGCCCGACUUCAGCAACAGAAAAGCAGGUUUUGCCCUCAAAGGUUUUCAGCUGCUGCAUGCAAUACUCGU